rnacentral:tRNA from 1 species
GUGGGGUAGUUUGGCCUAUCCUUCGGCGUUCGGGACGCCGUGACCUGAGUUCAAAUCUCAGCAGGCCCA